rnacentral:lncRNA from 10 species
GACAGGUUCACCUUGUGGUGAGUGUCCAACUACUGCUGGUAAAAAGUGCCUUGAAUGCUGCAUACUUUGGAGGUGUGAGCAGAAGAAAUCUGUGCCGAAAGAAUAGCAGAACUUAGAUAAAUCACAAACAUCCAGUAUUUUCCAAUAUUGGUUUCUCCUUUCCUCCAUUUUCCCUUCCUGGAAGACUCUACUGGAUGUCUUAGUGUACCUCAGAGGUUCAGGUUUCUUUGGCAACAAAAUGAUCUCCAAAGUCUUGGCAGGAUUUUCAUACAUCUAUUCCAGUGAAUUCCAUGUACCAGUGACCACAGAGAGUGUUUGUUCUCAGAUUUUGAAAAAUCUUUAUUUUUUUUUGCUUUUUCAUCCACCAUGCUUUUCAACUUAAUGAGGUUAUUGUGCAUUGGCGGGCGCGUCCUAAUCUGAUUUUUCCCCCUAAUGGAAACAUUUCCCAGGGCAGCACCCUUUCAAGCAGUAGCACAGGGAGUCCACUUCUAUCUUACAUAGAAGUUUUCCAUCUAAGCAAACUGCUUCCUGAUUGCUAUGGCAGAGGCAGAGAGAAUAGGCGGGUUUAUAUACACACAUACAAUCAUAUACACUCACAUGCCUUGAUCUCAGAAAGAUCACUUUGUACAGUUCACCAUGGCUUAUUAAAACUAGUCACAUGUCUCCUGCCUAACUGCAAGGUAGGCUGGGAGGUAUAGUGUUCUGCACGCAGAGGGAGCAGAGCAGAACUGCUUUAAAUUGCUGCCAUA